GUGGGGAAUAUUGGACAAUGGGCGAAAGCCUGAUCCAGCCAUGCCGCGUGUGUGAAGAAGGUCUUCGGAUUGUAAAGCACUUUAAGUUGGGAGGAAGGGCAGUAAGUUAAUACCUUGCUGUUUUGACGUUACCGACAGAAUAAGCACCGGCUAACUUCGUGCCAGCAGCCGCGGUAAUACGAAGGGUGCAAGCGUUAAUCGGAAUUACUGGGCGUAAAGCGCGCGUAGGUGGUUUUGUAAGUUGGAGGUGAAAUCCCCGGGCUCAACCUGGGAACUGCCUCCAAAACUGCAUGACUAGAGUACGGUAGAGGGGAGUGGAAUUUCCUGUGUAGCGGUGAAAUGCGUAGAUAUAGGAAGGAACACCAGUGGCGAAGGCGACUACCUGGACUGAUACUGACACUGAGGUGCGAAAGCGUGGGGAGCAAACAGGAUUAGAAACCCUAGUAGUCC
rnacentral:rRNA from 1 species